AUGCCGUGAUGAGGAAAUUUUCUUAACAAUUAUUUAAACCUCUCCCAUGCAUCAUAUGAUGAUUCCCCGUUAGUCUGGAAGAAGUUAUUGCUCUCUCCUCUCAAUCU